AUGGUGGUUUCCUUCAUCACAGGCGAGGGCAUGGCUGCAGGGACAGACUGUGAACACCUCAAUCCCUGGGGGCCUCAUGGUCCCUUUCAGGUUGCCAGCCACGAAGUAUUCCUUACCAGUCUCCCACUGCUGAGUCUUCGUUCAUCUGUCCACCUCCAGUAUCUUUGCCGUGAGUGAAGCCUGUCUGCCCCAAUCUAGUCUGGGUGAUUCAGAUAUGAGGACAUUGGGAGGCAUGUUGGCUGGUUCCGUUUCUGCACCACCUUCAUGAGUUACUUGGGUGAGUCAGUUUUGAGUUCAGUCUUCUGAUCUAUUAGAUUAUUGGGUUGGAUCAAAUGAUGUUUCAGUUUCCUUCCAACUUGACUACAUUUGGAUCAAAAGAGAUUUUUGAGUUACUUGGUAUAUUCUUAACAGCUGUUCACUGAUUUGUUAUAUGGAAGUUUCUAGGAAAAGAUCUAGGACCAUCCCUAUUCUUAAAAACCUGAUAUGUUCAAAAAAUGGUGAUAAACUGCAUGUUCAUCACCAUGAUAAUUCCUACAUUUAUACAGAGAUGAGUAGUUUUGUAAAGUGUGUUCACAUUUAUUAUCUCAAAUGGCCUGCUUAGGGUAUGCGAAAGCUAGGGUUCAGAAAAGGUGCUUAUUCAAGACCUUGAGGCUAGUUGUUUCCAUCUAUUUUGUGUUACUAUAAAGGAAUACCUGGAGCUUGGAAUAUAUAAAUAAAAGAAGUUUACUUAUCUCAGUUUUGUAAGCUCUACAGGUAUGGUGCUGACAUCUGCUUGGCUUCUGGUGAGAGCCUCAGGCUGCUUCUACUCAUGGUGGAAGGAUAAGGGGAGCCAGUGUGUGUAGAUAUCAUAUGUUAAGAGAGGAAGCAAGAGAUAGAAAGGGGAGGUGCGAAGUCUUUUUUAACAACCAACUCUCAUGGGAACUAACUGAGUAAGAACUCAUCACUGAGGAAAGGGCAUUAAUCUAUUCAUGAAGGAUCUUCCCUGUGACCCAAAAACCUCGCAUUAGACCCUACCUCCAACAUUGGGAAUCAAAUUUCAACACGAUUUUUGGAGGGGUCAAACAUCCAAACCAUAAUACUAGUAAAUGAGCUGGGACUAGAACCCACUUUUUCUCACUUGAAGUUUGGCACUCUUUCUACCUCACUGUAAUAAAAUAGUACUGAAACAAUACAAGCCAGAAGGCAGUAAUAUCAUCCGAAUGGUAUAGGCUAUGCUCUGUGAAUGUCUUCUGCAAAGAAGGUAACAAGUGAGUAGAAAAAGCUUACAUUUUAGUUUCUCUUAAAAGAUAUUACAAGUGUCAAUACUAUUGCCAUGGUGAACAUUCCUGUAAGUUACAUUUCUUUUUAAGUACCACAGUCACCAAUACAGCAUUUGUUUUGUUUUUAUGAGCUAGACUUUAUAGUGCUGGUUGUUUUCCUAUUCUGGGCUGGUUUUUCCUCCACCAAGGAUCUUUAUUUGUAUACCAUUUUCUUAUUUUGGUGCUUGAAAUAAAUGAUAAGUAACCUUGAUAGAGAACAUAGAUACCUGUACAAAUUAGCUUUUCUCCUACUACAUAGAGGCCAUCCUUAUAAGAAAUCUAAUCUAUAGCACUCUUCUCUGUUCUAAGAAAUGAUAUAGAAUCAGAUUGGCUAGAUUAUUAUUUAAGUCUCAUCAAAGACCAGUUGGUAACAUAUCUCUUGACUUGGCAUGACUAAGCUUACAAGCACUAGAGGGUAGAAAUUGAUAAGCAACUUAUAGUUGUAUAAUAUUUUUCUUAUUAGAAUUGACUGCUCUUCUAAUAUUAUUUUUUAUUCUGUGCCUUUGUAAAAUUUAAUUGAAUUAAAUUUUACCAAAUGAAGGACAGUAGCAUUUGAGGUAUACAGAAAUGUUUAAUACAUUAGGGAUGGGAAAAGAGAAAAAAAACAAUAGCGAGCCCAAUUAAUUUCUUCCCUGUGAACUCCCUAUGAACCUUCUACAGUUAAGAGAGCAAAUUGUACUAAAAACUCCAUUGUUCAGGAAAGUCUUUGUUUAAAGAACGAAUGCAAAUUCCAAGACUUCGGCUUAUUGAAUUUAUUUCAAUGGCUUGUGGCCAAAAAUUUAAUGAGGACUGAAACAGCUGAUAUCUCCCAGCAUUCAACUCUGUACCACCGGGACUACAGCUGAGAGAGUUGUCUUAAAGUUCAAGACAGAGUUAAUAUAUUCUGUCUAUUUGCAACUUUCAUCAGAAUGAAGUCACCUUCAUAACAAUGACUUGUAACAUGAGUUUGUCCUCAUUUGCCAUUUUUAGCUGAAAUUUUGAGUGAAAAUAAAGGAAAAUAAAUCACUCUGUCCUCUUCCUUCUCUUUUUACCUUAAAGAUUUGGGGACUGCUUUUAAAUUUCACAGUGACAGGGAUGACAGCAAAGGAGAAAAUAUCCUUUUAGUAGUUUGCAAA
ensembl:lncRNA